AGCGAACGCUGGCGGCAGGCCUAACACAUGCAAGUCGAACGAAGUCUUCGGACUUAGUGGCGGACGGGUGAGUGACACGUGGGAACGUACCUUUUGGUUCGGAACAACUCAGGGAAACUUGAGCUAAUACCGGAUGAGCCCUUAGGGGGAAAGAUUUAUCGCCGAAAGAGCGGCCCGCGUUAGAUUAGCUAGUUGGUGAGGUAAAGGCUCACCAAGGCUACGAUCUAUAGCUGGUCUGAGAGGAUGAUCAGCCACACUGGGACUGAGACACGGCCCCAACCCCUACGGGAGGGAGCAAUGGGGAAUCUUGCGCAAUGGGCGAAAGCCUGACGCAGCCAUGCCGCGUGAAUGAUGAAGGUCUUAGGAUUGUAAAAUUCUUUUACCAGGGACGAUAAUGACGGUACCUGGAGAAAAAGCCCCGGCUAACUUCGUGCCAGCAGCCGCCGUAAAAC
rnacentral:rRNA from 1 species